rnacentral:rRNA from 1 species
UACGGAGGGUGCGAGCGUUGUCCGGAAUCAUUGGGCGUAAAGGGCGCGUAGGUGGCCACUUCAAGCGUGCGGUGAAAGUCGGGGGCUCAACCCCUGAUCGGCCGUGCGAACUGGGGGGCUGGAGCACUGUAGAGGCAGGCGGAAUUCCGGGUGUAGCGGUGGAAUGCGUAGAGAUCCGGAAGAACACCGGUGGCGAAGGCGGCCUGCUGGGCCGAACCUGACGCUGAGGCGCGAAGGCUAGGGGAGCGAACGGG